UACGUAGGGGGCUAGCGUUGUCCGGAAUCAUUGGGCGUAAAGAGCGUGUAGGCGGUCCGGUAAGUCCGUUGUGAAAGUCAGGGGCUCAACCCUUGAAUGCCGGCGGAUACUGUCGGGCUAGAGUCCGGAAGAGGCAAGUGGAAUUCCCGGUGUAGCGGUGAAAUGCGCAGAUAUCGGGAGGAACACCUAUGGCGAAGGCAGCUUGCUGGGACGGUUCUGACGCUGAGGCGCGAAAGCGUGGGGAGCAAACAGG
rnacentral:rRNA from 1 species